rnacentral:rRNA from 1 species
GCUGGCGGCGCGCUUAACACAUGCAAGUCGAGCGAGAACCGGGACUUCGGUCCCGGGGACAGCGGCGAACGGGUGAGUAACACGUGGGUAAUCUGCCCUCGAUUCUGGGAUAGCCCGGGGAAACCCGGAUUAAUACCGGAUAGCCUUUCGAGCCUUCGGGCGCGAAAGAAAAGGUAGCUUCGGCCUCCGAUCGAGGAUGAGCCCGCGGUGGAUUAGCUUGUUGGUGGGGUAAUGGCUCACCAAGGCGACGAUCCAUAGCUGGUCUGAGAGGACGAUCAGCCACACUGGGACUGAGACACGGCCCAGACUCCUACGGGAGGCAGCAGUGGGGAAUCUUGCGCAAUGGGCGAAAGCCUGACGCAGCGACGCCGCGUGGGGGAAGAAGGCCUUACGGUUGUAAACCUCUUUCAGGUGGGACGAAGCCACUC